ensembl:lncRNA
AGGGGAGUCUGCACGGAUACCUAAGAGGGCAUUGCAUGAGGCUAUGGAGUGAAGCCUGGAUUGCAUUGGAGACCCCAGAAUGUUGGAGAUGACUGAGCCAAGAUAUAUGCCAAGGGGAGAUGCAAUCGGGACGUGGUAGUGAGCAGAGAGAGGAGAAAGAGAUCUUCCAGGCAGCUCCGUAGCAUCAGACAGGGAGAUAUAGGAUUUGGAGUUUGCCCUGCUGGGUUUCAGUCUUGCUUUGGACUAGUAAUUCAUCACUAUGCCCCCAUUCCUCACUAUGGAAGGAGAGUCUCAAGAUGUUUUUCCAACACAGCAUGGUCUGUGGCAAUUGCUUGACAAUUAAAGGGCUUCCUGGAGUUGCGUGGAACACAGUCUUAGGACAUACCAUGAAGUCCAUCAGACUUUGGACAAGCUCCACAGGCGAGACCAGAAGAGAAGCUGCCUGUCUGGAUCACCUUAACCCGAAGACCAAGUUCAGGAUUCCAUGCUUGCUGAGAUGAUUGACAGGCAUCGUAGGAGAAACGACAUCUGGGAAAUUUCUCAUCAGGAGAUACUUAUCUCAUGUCAAUGGAAUAUGGAGAACAAAUGUUGGUUUCGUUUGCCAAACAAAAGCACAGAGAGUACCCGGCACCCGUGGGGACAUAAUACACAGUUUCAGUUUGAUAUCUCUUGACCGGAAUGUGAUGCUGGCUGUUUCCUGAUGAGGUCCUAUUGGCUCUACAAGCUUUAGUUACUUUGUGGCAAGGUCGGAGAAGGAUGCCUCACUGAACACCUGCACCCGGGGUUGACUGAAACAGUAUGGGAGACUGUAUCUGUUCAAAGCUCAAUUUCCAAACACUUUCUUCUGAACUGG